UACAGAGGGGGCAAGCGUUAUUCGGAAUUAUUGGGCGUAAAGGGCGCGUAGGCGGCUUUGCAAGUGGCGGGUGAAAUCCCUCGGCUUAACCGAGGAACUGCCUGUCAAACUGCAUGGCUUGAGACCAGGAGAGGUGAGUGGAAUUCCCAGUGUAGCGGUGAAAUGCGUAGAUAUUGGGGAGGAACACCAGUGGCGAAGGCGGCUCACUGGGACGGUACUGACGCUGAGGCGCGAAAGCGUGGGGAGCGAACAGG
rnacentral:rRNA from 1 species